GUUUGUGACUGCGUCAUUGUGGUAAACAUUUCGCUUAUGUAAUGAGAUAUGAUUGUAAAUGACCGUGAAAAAAGUUUAAAACAAGAACAGCUAUGGCUUAUGAAAACCAACGCUGCACAGGAGCAUCCUGUCCGCAUACGCUGAACCGGCCCUUUCGCCAUCUUUAAUGAACUAUCUGCGAGCGAAAGUCCUGUCAAAAUCGGACCAGCCGUUUCAAAGAUUAACCAGAGCGAACAGGCAGACAAAUUUUUAAAAUUAAUAUUUUACAUUAGCUGAUUGCGAUGACAUCAGACAACGUAAUAUGUUGCCUUUGUAUUCAAUAAUGCACAAAAUACCAGUCUAACUCGACUGUCAAUGUCUAAAAAACUCACAGGAAACUGAUGGAAGUAGCAACAAAUACCUAUAUGAAGAACAGUAUGGAUAUCAUAUCGUCAUGCGAUGACUGUCUCCUCAUGUGCUGUAAUUCAAGACAACCUACAUAGACCUCAUGCUUCCGUCCUCUGUAAUUUCAC